rnacentral:sRNA from 1 species
CGGUCAUGACGUGGAGAAGGGGUACUGCCCCUCCAUCCCCCACCCACUUGCUGGGUGAAGAAACAAGGCUCAGAGAGAGAAGGUGACGUGACAUGGAAAGGGGAUUCAGAACGUUAGAACCAGACUCUGAAUCCUAAAAGCUGAGGGCCAGACAGCGGCUGCUUCUGUAUGUGGUGAUGUGGACCCGAGGCUUGGGCCUUCGUGACCUCAUGGGAACACUUAGAAUCAGAGCGCCUGAGUCUUGGAAACAAAACAUUGGAGUCUUUGAUAAAAUCUUGAACUGGA